rnacentral:rRNA from 1 species
UGUCUUUUUGAAAAUAAUAUAAAGUCUAAUCUGCCCACUGAUUUUAUAUUAAAGGGCUGCAGUAUUUUGACUGUACAAAGGUAGCAUAAUCAUUAGUCAUUUAAUUGAUGACUUGUAUGAAAGAUUGGAUGAAAUAUAAACUGUCUCUUAAUUAUUAAUAUAAAACUUAAUUUUUUAAUUAAAAAGUUAAAAUAAUUUAAAAAGACGAGAAGACCCUAUAGAGUUUUAUAUUUAAAUUAAUUAAGAUUAUUUAAAAUUUAAAAUUAAAAUUAAUUUAUUUAUUAUAUUGGGGUGAUAGAAAAAUAUAUAUAACUUUUUUUAUAUAAAAACAUUUAUAAGUGAUUAAAUGAUCCAAUACUAUUGAUUAAAAGAAAAAAUUACCUUAGGGAUAACAGCGUAAUUUUUUUUUUUAGUUCACAUAAAAAAAAGAGUUUGCGACCUCGAUGUUGGAUUAAGAUAAAAUUUAAAUGUAGAAG